CAGCGGAGCGAAUAGGUAACUGGGAAUGACUGGGAGGCGCUCGGAAGACACUGGGAGCAACUGGGAAGAGCCGGAGGGGGCGUGGGGGACAACUGGGAGCAACUGGGAGGAGCUGGGAGGGGUGUAGGGGACAACUGGGAGGAGCUGGACGGGAUUGGGAGCAACUGGUGGGGUGACGUCACCAGCGUCCCCGUGGAUGACGUCAUCUCCAAGGGGAUGACGUCACCUCCCAACGGGGUGACGUCACCAAUGUCCCCAUGGGAUGAUGUCACCUCCCAAUGGAAUGACGUCAUCGACGUCCCCAUGGAUGACGUCAUCUCCCAACGGGAUGACGUCACCAACGUCCCCACGGGAUGACGUCACCGGCGUCCCCACGGGAUGACGUUGCGUCCCCACGGGGUGACACCAUCGAUGUCCCCAUGGGAUGACGUCAUCUCCCAACGGGAUGACGUCACCAACCCCGCCGGGGGUCACGUGACCGCUGUCCCCGCCCCCCCCCCAGCUGGCGGAGCUGCAGGACAAGGCGACGUCGGCCGAGACCAAGGUGCUGGAGAUGGGCACCACGGUGGAGGGGCUGCAGUGGGACAGCGCCAAGCUCCGCAAGCGCGAGGGGCGCCUGGCCCUGCGCUCGCUGCCGGAGGAGGCGGUGAAGGAGACGCUGGAGUACAAGGUGCUGCAGUCCCAGUUCUCCCUGCUCUACCACGAGAGCCUACAGGUGAAGACGCAGCUGGACGAGGCCCGCGCCCUCCUCCUGGCCACCAAGAACAGCCACCUGCGCCACAUCGAGCACAUGGAGGUGAGGGGGCGCGUCCCCGGCGUGUCCCCACGGCGUCCCCAGCUGCCCUCCGGGCUUCUCGGGGACGUCCGCUAGGUCCUGGGGGGGUGUGGGUUGGUGCGGCGGAUGAGUUUUGGCCAUCCAAGAUGGCCGCCUGCGUCAUACGGGGAACGUGGGGGUUGGUUUUGGUGGCCCCAAGAUGUUCUCAGAGGGGUUCUGAAGGUCCUGGGUGGUCC
rnacentral:lncRNA from 1 species